UACAGAGGGUGCAAGCGUUGUUCGGAAUUAUUGGGCGUAAAGCGCGUGUAGGCGGCUUUGCAAGUCGGGUGUGAAAUCCCUGGGCUCAACCCAGGAAGUGCGCCCGAAACUGCAGAGCUUGAGUACCGGAGAGGAUGGCGGAAUUCCCCAAGUAGAGGUGAAAUUCGUAGAUAUGGGGAGGAACACCGGUGGCGAAGGCGGCCAUCUGGACGGAUACUGACGCUGAGACGCGAAAGCGUGGGUAGCAAACAGG
rnacentral:rRNA from 1 species